UACAGAGGUCUCAAGCGUUGUUCGGAUUCAUUGGGCGUAAAGGGUGUGUAGGUGGCGCCGUAAGUCGGGUGUGAAAUUUCGGAGCUUAACUCCGAAACUGCAUUCGAUACUACCGUGCUUGAGGACUGGAGAGGAGACUGGAAUUUACGGUGUAGCGGUGAAAUGCGCAGAUAUCGGGAGGAACACCGGUGGCGAAGGCGGUUCUCUGGGCCUUACCUGACGCUGAGGAGCGAAAGCGUGGGGAGCGAACAGG
rnacentral:rRNA from 1 species